rnacentral:snRNA from 1 species
AGCUGCGGGCGGAGUGGCGGUACCGUAGCCAAUGAAGUUUACCUGAGGCGCGGUUAUUGCUAGUUGAAAACUGACUAAAACAGUCAGUAGUAAUCCACAGAAAGUUUAUGCAGUCGAAAAUAAUAAUAAUUUGUGCACAAAAAUUCG